rnacentral:rRNA from 1 species
UACGUAGGGCGCGAGCGUUGUCCGGAAUUAUUGGGCGUAAAGAGCUCGUAGGCGGCCUGUUGCGUCUGCUGUGAAAUCCCGGGGCUCAACCCCGGGCGUGCAGUGGAUACGGGCGGGCUAGAGGCAGGGCAGGGGAGAACGGGAAUUCCCGGUGUAGCGGUGAAAUGCGCAGAUAUCGGGAGGAACACCGGUGGCGAAGGCGGUUCUCUGGGCCUGUUCUGACGCUGAGGAGCGAAAGCAUGGGGAGCGAACAGGG